CACCUCCACUCCUCUUGCUCUCAUUUUUCUUCUCUCCACUCACUCCUCCACCUUAUCUACUCCCUCACACUCUUCUCCUACUCUCCCCCACGAAAAUGCAGCUCCACCUAGCUCCCAUGGCCGGCCAUGGCCAUGGAAAGAACUCCAAGAUGAAGCUCCCUCCUCCCUCAAGCUCCUCCUCACCAUGAGAGCCUCCCUCUCCUUCUUCUCCCCAAUCCUAGAUGGUUUUCUCUCCUCUUCCUCUUCCUCCAUUGCUAAGAUUGGAUCUUGAUGCAGGUGCAUGUUGGUCCAAGCAUGGAGAAGCUUGAGCUAUCCUCAGAUCUGAAGUUCUUGAACAAAAUCCAAAUCGAGUGAUUCAAAGUUCCGCAGAUAGAUACGGAAAAUAUCUACAACUUGGCGUUGGUCUCAUCCUCAAAUUCGUUACGGAUUGUCCGUGGUGAAAGCCCUCUUCAAUACCUUCAUUUUGGCGGUGGUUUCACUUCGAUUGACCUACUGAAACUGAAAUGGUUCACAGAUCAAGAUCUGGUCAGAUCUGACUUGGUCGAAUUAAAUCAGGAGCUUGGGAACGAAUUUUUGAAUGAAACAAACUGGGGGAUACUUAGUUGUGCCAUGGUGAUACCGAGAGAGGCAACUGCUAAGUUAUGAUACUCUCAUACCUUUACUAGAUGCGAACGAUUCCGGAGAAGAAGAAGAAGUGGUUCGGACAAGGAUUUUAUUUAUAUUGACGGGAUUCUUAUAUUGAUGAAGUUGAAGAAGUCCAGGGACAAAUAAGCCAAGGCAAGCCAUCUUUUGAUCUCUGAUAUGAUGUCUCUUUGGAUGUCAUCUUGUGCUAUCAAUAGCAUCUUGGUUCUAUGUGUGAUGAUCUCCAUAUUGUUGUCAUCUAUGCUUGGAUGCAAGCAUGGUACCUCUAGUAGUUUUAUCUUGUCAAGGUCUUGGUAAUUGGUUGGGUGUAUGGUAUAAUGGCCAUUGCUAUCCAACUUGCUUUCUAUAUUUAGCUUGAAUAUGUUCCACCUCGGGACAAGAUUCAUACUACACCCCCUUCUAGUGUAGAUGUAUCAAUACCAUGCUUUUGGUGUAUUCUCAAAUUGUGAUGAGUAUGCCUGUUUUCCCUUAAUGGUGUUGGUGUUGGUCAAUUCUCAUCCCUAUCUAUCUAUUGAUUGGGUUAGAUAGCACCACAAAUCUGAAAGUAUAUUUCCUCUUGUGUUGUCAUAAUACAUGCUUAGCUCAAGCAAGUAUGAUCCACUCCAAUACCUCUUUUUCAUACCCUCAAUGGCGUGAUGACCCUCAUCUCGACCAUAGUGUUGUAUUAGUUCAACUCAUGAAACUUUAGAUUGGGAACCCCUCAAGGUUUACCUUGUUGUAAAUGUUUAUGAAAACCUUGGGUGAGGCAAUCUUACCCAAGCGUAUGGUUUAUGAAAGGAAAGGAUCUUGACAAAGAUGGUUGGAAAGAGGAAGGUGUGUGUGACUUGGGUUUUUGAGAAAAAACGACACAUGGUUCUUUGUAUUUGCCCGGAACAACUAAACAGCGCAACCAUAGCUACUCCAACGUGGGCACGGGGCUUAACUUGACGUUUGUUCUUCUUAGCAUGAGGCACCGCACAACUAUACAAGGGUACGGUUA